GCAUGCAUGAAACCCUUGUGCAUCCCAACAUGUUCAUCAGUAAAGAUGAUGAAGUAGUGAUAACCUCCUAAUCUGACUAAUCAAAUGGGCCAUGCACAUCGUAUGUGUACUAGGAUAAGUAUUUCAGUGAUCCUAUUUUUUUAACCCAUAAAGGACAGCUUGGUCAUUAAUUUUUAAAAAGAUGAUUCUCAGACUUGAUAUGACUUAAUAGUCAAUGAGCCCAAAGACCCAUUUUCUCCAGUCAGC
rnacentral:lncRNA from 1 species